rnacentral:rRNA from 1 species
UGCCUAAUACAUGCAAGUCGAGCGAACAGACGAGGAGCUUGCUCCUCUGACGUUAGCGGCGGACGGGUGAGUAACACGUGGGUAACCUACCUAUAAGACUGGGAUAACUCCGGGAAACCGGGGCUAAUACCGGAUAACACAUGAAACCGCAUGGUUUCAUGAUGAAAGACGGUUUUGCUGUCACUUAUAGAUGGACCCGCGGCGUAUUAGCUAGUUGGUAAGGUAACGGCUUACCAAGGCAACGAUACGUAGCCGACCUGAGAGGGUGAUCGGCCACACUGGAACUGAGACACGGUCCAGACUCCUACGGGAGGCAGCAGUAGGGAAUCUUCCGCAAUGGGCGAAAGCCUGACGGAGCAACGCCGCGUGAGUGAUGAAGGUCUUCGGAUCGUAAAACUCUGUUAUUAGGGAAGAACAUAUGUGUAAGUAACUGUGCACAUCUUGACGGUACCUAAUCAGAAAGCCACGGCUAACUACGUGCCAGCAGCCGCGGUAAUACGUAGGUGGCAAGCGUUAUCCGGAAUUAUUGGGCGUAAAGCGCGCGUAGGCGGUUUUUUAAGUCUGAUGUGAAAGCCCACGGCUCAACCGUGGAGGGUCAUUGGAAACUGGAAAACUUGAGUGCAGAAGAGGAAAGUGGAAUUCCAUGUGUAGCGGUGAAAUGCGCAGAGAUAUGGAGGAACACCAGUGGCGAAGGCGACUUUCUGGUCUGUAACUGACGCUGAUGUGCGAAAG